UACGAACUGUGCGAACGUUAUUCGGAAUCACUGGGCUUACAGGGUGCGUAGGCGGCUAUUCAGGUCAGGUGUGAAAGCCCCCCGGCUCAACCGGGGAACUGCGCUUGAAACCGAGUGGCUCGAGUCAGCUAGAGGUACACGGAACUUCCAGUGGAGCGGUGAAAUGUGUUGAUAUUGGAAGGAACACCGGAGGCGAAAGCGGUGUACUGGGGCUGGUCUGACGCUGGAGGCACGAAAGCCAGGGGAGCGAACGGGG
rnacentral:rRNA from 1 species